CAAUGUCCUUGGGUGGGGGGGGGCACAGGACAGGAGUCAGCGACUUUGGACUUGGAAGCUCUGCUGCGAAAAGUAGCUGCGUGACAUGGGCGAGUCCCUGGGGUUUCCUGGAUGCAGGGCUCAAGUCCGCGCCAUCCCUCUGGUGUGUCGUGUGAGGUGGUCUCUGGACCAGCAGGGGCUUGGGGGUGCUUCAGAGCCAUGAACUUGAACACCCCAGGGCCAGGUCCUCACAGCCGGGGCUGGCACCGCCCCCCAGCCUGAUUUACGUCCGUGCCGCGCACGCCUCGCUCACGGUGUGAGUAGCAGCAGCGGGCUGCCGUCACCCUGUGACACUGCCACUCCCCUUCUGCAAGAACGGGCAGCCCCCAACUCCACUGCCGGCUUUAAAUCCGUGCCCUCGCCAGGCUCCUGGCAGCGCGGCUUCCCCCGGCCGGAGAAGCUGGAGCUGUCACAGGGCGCCAGGAUGAGUGAGACCGCAGACGUGCCCACCUGCAGGGUCUCACCUGUGGGCUGCACUGGGCUGGUGAGGGCACCGAGUGCAAGGACGCCCCCAGCUGCCUCCCCCUGCCCAGCCACAGGUGCGCACAGCCACGUGCCCAGCCACCGUGGCUGUGGCUAGUGACCCGGGUGACCCUCAGUUACAGGGAUCUGAUCUGCAGCGGCCGAUACCACGGCUGGCUCUCCCCUUGUGCCUGGCCUGGGACGCACGGGGACUUUUGUUUCCCGCAGGAGGCUAUUUUUAGCGGGCUCCGGCUGAACUGCUGUGGUGAACGUACAUCUUCACUAGGAGUGUGUGCGUCCUGGGAGGGGCUGACACCGCCCCUCCUGGGGGCUCCCCAGGCUGGCUUUCAGCUCUGAUGGGGUGGCUCUGCUCCUAAUGUCCCCUGCGCAGGCAGACUUGGCGUCUGCGAGUCAGGUCAGUCUGGAAUUUUUCACCUGGGACCCUCCUUUCCUCCACAGCGGGGGGAGUGGGUACCAGGGUUUUGUACUAACGAACUGUGUAGGGCUGGCCCCGGGUCCUUGGCCCCUUCAGUAUCCUGGAUUUGUGGAGGCUCUCUCCAUUCAGCUUGCGGGCACGGAGGACACGUGGACGGGCAGAUUCACGGUGCUCUGGAGCCGGACUGCCUGCCUUGGAAUCUGGCCCCUGCCGCUUUUCAGCUCUGUGACCUUGGGCAAACUGAGUUCUUAACUUCAUUCUCGAAGCCUCAGCUUACUCCUCUGUAACGUGGGAUAAUGGGAGUAUUGAUUUCCUGAAGUCCGUGGGAGCGGCGGAACAGAGCGCACACACCUUUGUCAUGUCCUGAAGCUUCGAAACCAUGUUGAAAUCUGUCAGCUCAGUGAAUUAACAGGACAAUCUCAGCAGAUUUAUUUGGCAGAAACACCGGAUUCCUGAAACCACGUGGGCCGGCCCGCAUGCCCCUUGCCCUGGGAAAGUAAAAUGUACGUCACUGGUUUUGGGGCUAACUAGCACUGAAAAGCAGUCGGAUUUUUGUGUUCAUUUUCUUACAUGUUAACAGUGGCCACCGUCAGCUCUCACAAUGGAUCCCGCAUGGGUGUUAUCGAUUAAAGAAGUGAGCGGGAUGGACAGGGAGGAGGUGGGGAGGGCCCCGCACUCUGGCGCGGAGAGAAAGCUGGCCCCAGUCGGCAGGCUGGUGACAGGAGCCCGGCUGCCUUCUCUUUGACAUGAGUGCUCAGAAGACACCUGUAUCCCCAUCUUCCUGCUGUGGGUGACAGUAGAGUGUUGGGCAAAUCCAGUGCACAGCGUAGCGUUUUCCAAAACACACAUUCUCUCAAGCCCCCUUAGAAAUCUUUCCGUGGUGUAUAGGAAGUGAUUUUAAUGACAGUAAAAAAAAAAAAAAAAAAUCCUGGCUUCAUGGUUGUGUGACCUCAUGCAAAUUACAUGUUCUGUCCAGAUCAGCGAAAUGUAGUGAGGAUUACAUCAGUUAGCACACGGGGCUUCCUGGACAGUAGCAGGUACUCAGGAAGGGGCAGCCCCGAUCCCUGCAUGGUCCACACGUUUGUGGUAUUUGUCUCUGUCACGCUUUGGGGUGGCCCGAGAGCAGUGCAUCUGCCUUAAAGAUGUGGUCUUCAUUCUUUCAUUCAUCAGAGACUUACUGAGCUCCUAUGAUGUGCCGAGCAUUGGGGUCCCAAAAAUGAAUGAGGCACAGCACCUCCCUGAAGCCGCUCCCGCUCGGGAGAGGUGUUCCCAUAAGCAGUCAUGCCACUUUCUCUCUAAUGAUGACUCUGAGGGGAGCAGGUCUCAAGGGCAUUGGCAUCUAGAACCCUGGAGAGGGACCCUCGAGGGAGCUGGUGGGAAGGAGGUGGGAAACAUCCUGCCAUCCCAUGCCACCUAUUACAGUGAUGCCCAGGGUUUUCGAAAACAAAAGCAUAGAGCCGAUUUGUAAUGAGAGCCUCCCACCUUCUGAAGUGGCAGGAAGACCAGAGUCAAUACAUUUUACUGCUUUGGGACUAGAUUCAACCAGGAGGCAGAGAGAUGGGUCAGGAAAUCCUGUCUGAAUCCAGAGUUCCCAUGCGUUGGUAUAAAAUCCUGAUGAGCCCUUGGAGGGGAAAAAAGAAGUCUAUGAUAUUCGAGUGAUACCAAGAAAUUCCUGACUUUAAAAGGACAGAUUUUUUUUUAGCAAAGGAAGUUGGAUAUUUAGAGGUGCUUUUUUUCCUCCAGAAUUAUUUUUAGCUUCCAGCUAUAUAAUUUUUCUUGCCGAGGACUUAGGUGCCAUAUGCAGAUUAGACUGGUGGGGUUUGGGAACCAAAAACAAGCCACGUCCUCUUGCUGGGGGGGCGGGUCAGGAGGGGGGUGCAGUGUUGUCCUUCGUUCAAGGGCACUGGAGAGAAUGGGAUUCCUGCAAACAGCCAGACGUGUGGAAUCACUGAGUGGGGGUGGUUAUCCCAGAGAACCGUUUUACAGGAGAGGAAACUCAGAGAAAUGGAGUGGCUUACCCAAGGUCAUACCACUCUAGGGAAUAGUCUGAACCAGAGCCCAGACGUUCCCUGUGGGUGUUGGCUUCUUCCACGAGGGGUUGGGUGGUAAGUGUGCUCAAGCCCUUCAAGGGUUUCUUGAUGCUUCUAAGGACAAGACUUCCACUUAAAUGGAAUCCACCUUUCUUUAUAGAACACACAAAGAGUCUAGUAGCUGUUUGCAUCCUAAAUGGCCACUUUUGUGCCAAACAGCUAGCCUGGUCAUGGUUUUAAAACGAGGGGAUUGAAAUUCGUUGUCCUUUAAAGCAUUCAUUUUCUUUCUCAUCUUUUGGUAAUCUGUAGGAGAAGAAAAGUGGAACUUUCAGGAAGUAUAUCUGUAAAGAGAGAUUGACUUUUAAGAAACAACUUUGGAAGUGGAGACCGAUCUUGUCCUCCUCCUAGGAAAUCAAUCUGGAGAGCUGGAUCCUUAUCCCACUGAUUCCUACCCUGAAUGGCUUUUGAGCUCUGUCUUGUGAGGCUGUGAAGCCCUUUUCUUUGCAUUCAUGGGGGUGGCAGGGAGGACGUGUUUUCUAGAGAGCCGGGCACAGUGUUGGAGCCUGCUAGUGACUCGGUGGGGCAUUCUGUUCCCCGGUUCCUCUGCCUUUUGGGCUCCCAGAGCAUCCCGCUGUGCCUGGGUUAGCGCAUGGUGUUUAAACGGUCUCUUCCUUGCUGUGGGUCCACCCGGCUGCAGGACACUGGACACAGGACAGGUCUGUCCCCUGAUGA